rnacentral:tRNA from 1 species
GGAGAGGUGGCUGAGCGGUUGAAAGCGGCGGUCUUGAAAACCGUNNCUAGAGUUCGAAUCUCUACCUCUCCGCCA